UAAACGACUCUCUGUAACGGAUAUCUCGGCUCACGCAUCGAUGAAGAGCGUAGCGAAAUGCGAUACUUGGUGUGAAUUGUAGAAUCUCGUGAACCAUCGAGUCUUUGAACGCAAGUUGCGCCCGAAGCCGUUAGGUUGAGGGCAUGUCUGCCUGGGCGUCUCAC
rnacentral:rRNA from 1 species